UACGUAGGGUGCAAGCGUUAAUCGGAAUUACUGGGCGUAAAGCGUGCGCAGGCGGUUUUGUAAGCCAGAUGUGAAAUCCCCGGGCUCAACCUGGGAACUGCAUUUGGGACUGCAAGGCUAGAGUACGGCAGAGGGGGGUAGAAUUCCUGGUGUAGCAGUGAAAUGCGUAGAUACCAGGAGGAAUACCGAUGGCGAAGGCAGCCCCCUGGGUCGAUACUGACGCUCAUGCACGAAAGCGUGGGGAGCAAACAGG
rnacentral:rRNA from 1 species